rnacentral:tRNA from 2 species
GUCUUCGUAGCUCAGUUGGUAGAGCAGCUGACUCUUAAUCAGCGGGCCGCAGGUUCGAAUCCUGCCGGGGACA